GAUGAACGCUGGCGGCGUGCCUAAUACAUGCAAGUCGAGCGAACAGACGAGGAGCUUGCUCCUCUGACGUUAGCGGCGGACGGGUGAGUAACACGUGGAUAACCUACCUAUAAGACUGGGAUAACUUCGGGAAACCGGAGCUAAUACCGGAUAAUAUAUUGAACCGCAUGGUUCAAUAGUGAAAGACGGUUUUGCUGUCACUUAUAGAUGGAUCCGCGCCGCAUUAGCUAGUUGGUAAGGUAACGGCUUACCAAGGCGACGAUGCGUAGCCGACCUGAGAGGGUGAUCGGCCACACUGGAACUGAGACACGGUCCAGACUCCUACGGGAGGCAGCAGUAGGGAAUCUUCCGCAAUGGGCGAAAGCCUGACGGAGCGACGCCGCGUGAGUGAUGAAGGUCUUCGGAUCGUAAAACUCUGUUAUUAGGGAAGAACAAAUGUGUAAGUAACUAUGCACGUCUUGACGGUACCUAGUCAGAAAGCCACGGCUAACUACGUG
rnacentral:rRNA from 1 species